GUGAGGAGGCGGCGGCGCCUCUCUACAGGGCAGGCGGUUCCUACUUCAGCAGCGGCUCUGGGGAGCUAGCCCGAGCCCCGGCUGCACUGACUCUCAGGGAAGGGAGGAGGAGGGCCGACUCCGAGCCGGGAAACCAGGGCAGGAUUGGAGGAAGCUCCCUCUCCAGCUGAGUGGGAAUUCCCUCUGCUAAGGAGAAGAGAAGGACAGACAGCCAGAUUCCACUUAUCAUCAUCCACCUUCAGCUGCUGUCCCCCGACGUACUAUCUACUCUUCUACAGACCCAGAGGAACAUCAAGGGACUCCCUGGAGCUCCUCUCCAAUGGCUUUCAAAUAGCCAGAGGAUUGAGGUCCCAGGCAACAAUCGAUGCUUGAUCUAUAGAAGGAGGUUUCUAUUAAGGGGUUUACUUACCUGUUUAUAGUGUUUAUUUUGGGAAAAUCACUGUAUUGCAUAAUUUUACUGUUUACUCCCUCUUUUUCUUUGCCCAGUUCAUUGUACACCAAUCCCUCAAUACACUUAAUUUGUUUUUCACCUUA